GGUGAGAUGGCUCAGUGGGUAAGAGCACCCGACUGCUCUUCUGAAGGUCCUGAGUUCAAAUCCCAGCAACCA
rnacentral:tRNA from 1 species